UGGGAGCUUGAAAUAUAGAAUCCCAGGCUCCCCUCAGACUUAGCAAAAUAAGCAUUUUAACAAGAUGUUCAGGUGUUUGGCCUGACCCUUAAGUCUGAGAGGCAUUGCUUUAGACUGCAGUAUAUUAUAAGCACUUGAGGGCCGCCAAGGAAAACUACUGGGAAAAUGGAUGUAGAGAGGAUUCCUAAAUAAAAGUAUUACUUCUCUGCCCAUAUCAAAUGGAACAAACGGAACAGUAUGCCAGUUUAUCUCACAAUCUCUGUGGAGGAGUAAGAUCAAUUGUUGAAAUGCAGUCUGAAAGAUCCACGAGAAUGGCAUUUUAUCAUUGCAUCAAAUCUUGUGUUUGACCUCAGAGGCCCCGGUAGUGAGUUCAAGUGAAAAGCCAGAUUGGGAGGGCUGCUCGCGCUGCCCCGACCUGGCAGUGUCUCUGGAUCUCAGCAAGUGUCACUAAGGAGGUGAGCAGAAGAACACGUCUCGCAGGCUGGUCUGUGAAGUGGGGCAAGAUACCAAUUUUACUACCCAUCACAAAUCACUUGCUUCUGUCAACACAAUGCUGCCUGCGGUCCUGCUCUGUGUCUCCACCUUCUUGUUUGCCGGGAAAGAGAUUCCAGCUGGGGCCAUUGACGCAAUGCAGUGCCUUUGAUUUCUACUCCAGGGUCUUAGGGCAGGCGUGUUUGCUGCGCAGUAAACAGAGUUUUUCGGGUCAUCGUCAUCUUUUCCAGUACUGCAAGACAGACUGAUUUCAGCACCAACAAGCAAAGAUUGUUUCCUUGUUAUUAUCCUCCCACCCCCCACCUCUCAAAGUUCCAUGAAGUUGACCAAUUCAGGCCAAGCCAUGAGGAUGUUUUAGGUCAGGAUAAUUCACGCUUUCUUAAUGCCAGGGAACUCGGGGAGCUUUGUGUAGGGUGCUUUGGAAGAGCCUGCUUUCUGUUUGUGCCUUUUCAAGAAAUGGUGCACCCGCUCUUAAUCCAACACGAAAGGGAAGGUUCUCUGUGCCAGCAAUCCCACAUGAGAGAUGGAAUCCUAUUCAAUAAACCUGGGGGCAGCCUUUUUUCUGAAAGCUUGAAGAAAGAACAAAAUCACCUAAAAUCACAUUCCUGGCCAUCUCCCUCAAACUCAUGGCUCUCAUUAGUCUAGAUACACACACGCAAAGAUGCUUCUCUGGCUCAUCUGGGAUGGCUUCCAGGUGGUGGUGAUGAGUGUUAGAUGUAUGGCAAGUUCUACAGCUGACUAGGCAGACAGCAGUUUCGAAAAAAUGAGGUUUUCAGCUUCUUCUGCCUUCGUUAGUGGGCCCCUUCGACCUCUACCCCUGGCGAGAAUUCAACAGAGACAAGCACUCGGCCAAGAAAUUAAGCUGGAUCAAACUUCUGAAUAGUGUCCAAAACACAAUAUCGGUGCUUCUUCCAUCCCAAGGAACGACCAGAAUAACCCCCGAAGUUUACUUCCCUCAGCAGCACAAGCAUGACAGGGAACAUGGGGG